rnacentral:rRNA from 1 species
CAGCAGCCGCGGGAAUACAGAGGGUGCGAACGUUAAUCGGAUUUACUGGGCGUAAAGCGUGCGUAGGCGGCUUCUUAAGUCGGAUGUGAAAUCCCUGAGCUUAACUUAGGAAUUGCAUUCGAUACUGGGAAGCUAGAGUAUGGGAGAGGAUGGUAGAAUUCCAGGUGUAGCGGUGAAAUGCGUAGAGAUCUGGAGGAAUACCGAUGGCGAAGGCAGCCAUCUGGCCUAAUACUGACGCUGAGGUACGAAAGCAUGGGGAGCAAACAGGAUUAGAUACCCGAGUAGUCCCUGUCUCUUAUAA